rnacentral:lncRNA from 1 species
UUGCGAGAUGCUUCAUGAACCACCAAAACACAAAACGCGAGCUUGUUGAACUUGUGUCUCUGUAAGAAUAAUCUACGCGUUGAGCAUUUACCACUUGCCUCAUACCUAGCCCGAGACGACCUACCACAAAGGAUCGAAUUAGUCACUCUGGUCGAACUUGGAGUCAGAAUGGACUUUGUUUUAGGCUGGAGGAAACUUUUUUCAUUUCUUCCAGUCUUAUUGGCUGCCGUUGGCGUUUGUGGUGACACGUGCAAAGUCACCCAUCAGGGCAAAGCAACGACGUACAACAUCUCAAACCCUAAGAGCAAUCCAACGUGUGAUUACAGCUGGGCUGAUUCUAAUCUGUUGGUACUGGCAACUGAUGCCGAACCCGAAGGAAAAGGAAUUAUAUCCUCAUCUCACUCCUCUCUCACUUUGCUUGGAUGCUGGAAGAAUGUUUGUGUUACAAUUUAUUGCCAUCUGAAGCUGACUUCACUGCUGCACCAGAACCUCCAGUUGGUGCAUUUGGUGACACGUGCACAGUCACCCAUCAGGGCAAAGCAACGACGUACAACAUCUCAAACCCUAAGAGCAAUCCAACGUGUGAAUACAGCUGGGCUGAUUCUAAUCUAUUGGUACUGGCAACUGAUGCCGAACCCGAAGGAAAAGGAAUUAUAUCCUCAUCUCACUCCUCUCUCACUUUGCUUGGAUGCUGGAAGAAUGCUUGUGUUACAAUUUAUUGCCAUCUGA